rnacentral:pre_miRNA from 1 species
UUUGGCACUAGCACAUUUUGCUUUUUUGAUAACAUGCGGCAACUUUUGCUAGUGGCAAAGA